UCCGAUGGAUCCGGUGGAUCUGAUGGAUCCGAUGGAUCUGAUGAUCCAUCAGAUCCAUCGGAUCCAUCAGAUCCACCAGAUCCAUCCGAUC